rnacentral:tRNA from 1 species
GCCUGCUUAGCUCAGUUGGUAGAGCGUGCCCUUCGUAUGAUAUGGAUAGGGUAAGGUCGACUGUUCGAUCCAGCCAGUAGGCA